AUACGUAGGGGGCGAGCGUUGUCCGGAAUGAUUGGGCGUAAAGGGCGCGUAGGCGGCCCGGUAAGUCUGGAGUGAAAGUCCUGUUUUUAAGAUGGGAAUUGCUUUGGAUACUGUCGGGCUUGAGUGCAGGAGAGGUAAGUGGAAUUCCCAGUGUAGCGGUGAAAUGCGUAGAGAUUGGGAGGAACACCAGUGGCGAAGGCGACUUACUGGACUGUAACUGACGCUGAGGCGCGAAAGUGUGGGGAGCAAACAGGAUUAGAUACCCUGGUAGUCCACACUGUAAACGAUGAAUGCUAGGUAUAGGGGGUAUCGACCCCUUCUGUGCCGCAGUCAACACAAUAAGCAUUCCGCCUGGGGAGUACGGCCGCAAGGUUGAAACUCAAAUGAAUUGACGGGG
rnacentral:rRNA from 1 species